UGUUCCGUCAUAGUGACUAGCGAAGUGUAGCGAAGAAGCUCCCAGGAGCAAGAACCUAUUUCCUUUGCCCUUAGGUUACCAUCCAAGAUGCAGCUGGGCUGUUCUAGUUCCCGCGAUAGGGAAAGCUUCCACCCUGGCUCGGGUGGAACAACCUACAUGAGGUGGCUCUCGGCGUCCGCCCGGGCGACCCGGGAGGCCGUAAAUCCGCGGCCCCACGUGACUUUCCGGGCUUCGCCUCUGGGACGGGAGUCAGCCUGGCGUUCGUUUCCGUGGGGUGCGCUUAGACCCACCCAGUGAGUCAGGUUUGCGGUGUGCUCCCGCGUUCCGAAGGCGCUCGCACAGAUUCUCAGUAGCACCCGCGCUUCUCUCUCUCGAAUUUUUCUGGAAGUAGCCCUGUGUUGGGAUCCCUCAGGGCAAUGACGAAGCCACGUGGCUGACUUUCUGCUCCGUCGCCCACUCACGGUGAGCGGCCAAAACACCGAAAACGGCCCCCCGGCCUUCCAGCCGGAGCUCUGUCUACGCUGGCUAUCUCUCUCCCACUUGCCCAGGCUGUCUUUACCGAAUUUUUUGCUACUUAAAUCAGCGGUAGCCGCAGUCAGUCAACGCCACCACCACUACAGAGAAUCAGACACGAGCUGGGUUGGAAAUCCAUCUGGUCCGUUCCCAACCCACUUUACAGGAUCUCUGCAAAGCAUCAGUUUUGUUCAUUACACGCUUCACUAGUUGGUGAGAGGCCCUGUGGCAAGCCUAGCUCCCCUCUGAAAUGUCACCGGAAUGACCAGAGGAACCCAUCCAAGGCCCAGAGAGAGGAUCUGGAGACUUCAUGCAAACAGCUUAACCUCUCAGGUGCUGCCAUGGAACUUAAGGACCCAAGGCUUGUCACUUCAAGACUGGCAGUGACGGCACAACAGAGGGGACUCAGCUGGUGACUCUGCCACACCAGGAACGGGCUCAGAAGUUGAUCAUUGAGCCGGAAGUCUUCAACCCUGCUCGGCCUGAUACUCCCCUCGUGGUUCACCCAGAGCCCUCGGCAUCUCUCAGGAGUACACUGCAGUGGCUGAAGACUAAAUCCAGGAUUGGGGAAGUCGAAGGUCCUCCAGCACCAAUUCCUUCUGAUCGUAGAGUUCACUUUGCUCAGACAAAUCUGCCUGUGGUUCGCCCCCACUACUGAUUCAUGUCAGCAUCUGUGGUACUCCUUUGCCCUCUCUAGAACACCCACCGUUCCUCUUGCCCUUUGCUUCCCAUCUCCCAGGGAAAUAUUUUAUAUUGACACCCUUUCAAUCAGUACUUGAAUUCAGCCUUCUUUUUUUUUUUAAAUGUAUUUAUUUAUUUUCAGCAUAACAGUAUUCAUUAUUUUUGCACCACACCCAGUGCUCCAUGCAAUCUGUGCCCUCUCCAAUACCCACCACCUGGUUCCCCCAACCUCCCACCCCCCGGCGAUUCAAACCCCUCAGAUUGUUUUUCAGAGUCCAUAGUCUCUUAUGGUUCACCUCCCCUUCCAAUUUCCCCCAACUCCCUUCUCCUCUCUGUCUUCCAUACUAUUUGUUAUGCUCCACAAAUAAGUGAAACCAUAUGAUGAUUGACUCUCUCUGCUUGACUUCUUUCACUCAGCAUAAUCUCUUCCAGUCCCGUCCAUGUUGCUAUAAAAGUUGGGUAUUCAUCCUUUCUGAGGGAGACAUAAUACUCCAUAGUGUAUAUGGACCACAUCUUCGUUAUCCAUUUGUCCGUUGAAGGGCAUCUUGGUUCUUUCCACAGUUUGGCGACCGUGGCCAUUGCUGCUAUAAACCUUGGGGUACGGAUGGCCCUUCUUUUCACGACAUCUGUAUCUUUGGGGUAAAUACCCAGGAGUGCAAUUGCAGGGUGAUAGGGAAGCUCUAUUUUUAAUUCCUUGAGGAAUCUCCACACUGUUCUCCAAAGAGGCUGCACCAACUUGCAUUCCCACCAACAGUGGAAGAGGGUUCCCCUUUCUCCACAUCCCCUCCAACACAUGUUGUUUCCUGUCUUGCUAAUUUUGGCCAUUCUAACUGGUGUAAGGUGAUAUCUCAAUGUGGUUUUAAUUUGAAUCUCCCUGAUGGCUAGUGAUGAUUUCAGCCUUCUAUACCUAAUGUUAUUUCGAUACUUCUGAUGACAAAUUCCACAAUGCAGAGUAGUGGUCCAAAGUAAACUUUAAAAUCAGAUGACUUCGAUUUCAAUCUUUUUUUUUUUUUUUUAAAGAUUUUAUUUAUUUAUUUGACAGGCAGAGAUUACAAGUAGGCUGAGAGGCAGGCAGAGAGAGAGAAGUA